GCCGGGGAUAGGCGGGACGCUAGAGCGCCAUCCAUUUUCGGGGCUAGUUGGUUUGGCAGAGCACACGUCUGCAC
rnacentral:lncRNA from 1 species